CUCUUCUCUCUAUCUCUCUCUCUCUCUCUCUCUCUCUCUCUCUCUCUCUCUCUCUCUUAUCUUAUCUGGUUGGUUAUAGGUGUCCUUCCAGUGUUGAAAUACGAGGGUGUGGUUAUAGAGGGAAGGUAAUUAGUACAGAAAAUCCCUGUUCCUGUUUUAUUUGAGCUCAUUCAUUGCCAUCAGCCACAUAACCUGCUGAAACAGCAUAACUAGAUGGCGUACUCCACACAAACACUGGCUGGAGGCUGCUUUGGAAAAAUAUACAGGGAGAAGUACGGAGACACAUGGGCUGCUGUGAAGAGAGUUCCUAUAGGAGUCAUCAGCAAACAACAGCUGGAGAGAGAAUGCAGAGUAUAUCAUAAUGCUCGGCAUACACACGUGGUGAAGCUUCUCGGUGAUCCUUGGCUAAAAGACUCUAAGUGGAACAUUCCUUUGGAGUUUAUCUCUGGGGAAGAUCUUGAGACGACCAUCUUCAAAGUACAGCUUUCUAAAAUACAGCUGACUCCAGCAGUGAAAGCCACAAUCAUCACUGGCAUGUGUGAAGGCUUGUUGUUUCUGCACACUAAAGACAUCGUCCACCAAGACCUCAAACCUGAUAACAUUAUGGUGGAGCAUCAAACCUAUCGUGCCGUGAUCAUUGAUCUAGGAAUGGCUAAAUUCUUUAGAAAUGGACUCACCUCUGCAGUAAACUUGGGCAAUGAAGCGUACUCGGCACCAGAGAUCCUGCAGAUGAAUGGCGUUCGUGACAAGCGCUCAGACGUUUGGGCCAUGGGUAAAAUCAUAGCUGAACUCUGCGCCAGGAUCAGGUUACCCACCCAAUUUGUUUCUCCCGUCAAGAUUCGUGAAACUCUAAAAGACCAGCCAUACUGUAAUCCAGUAUCCAAAAUGGUGGAACCCAAUCCCACGUACAGAACUACUAUGGCUGGAGUCAUUGCAGACAUCAGGAGAGCUCCUUCAGCUCAACCAACAGACAUUAGACCAAAAGACAUCACAAGAGACAUUACAAGAGACAUCACAAGAGACAUCACAAGAGACAUCACAAGAGACAUUACAAGAGACAUCACAAGAGAUAUCACAAGAGAUAUCAUAGAGAAACAUGGAAAUGACAUGAGGCCAAAUCAAAAGUGGUGUCCACCAGGACCUCCUGUUCCUAAAGUGGAGCUAAAAAAACCUCCUAUUGUAUAUUAUCGACAGAG
rnacentral:lncRNA from 1 species